UACGUAGGGUGCAAGCGUUAAUCGGAAUUACUGGGCGUAAAGCGCGCGCAGGCGGUCCUUCAAGUCAGAGGUGAAAGCCCAGAGCUCAACUCUGGAACGGCCUUUGAAACUAGAGGACUAGGGUACGGGAGAGGUGAGUGGAAUUCCGAGUGUAGAGGUGAAAUUCGUAGAUAUUCGGAAGAACACCAGUGGCGAAGGCGGCUCACUGGCCCGUUACCGACGCUCAGGCGCGACAGCGUGGGGAGCAAACAGG
rnacentral:rRNA from 1 species